UUUAUAAUUAAUAUAAUUUAAUCUUAAAGUAAAAAAGCUUUAAUAAAAUAAAAAGACAAAAAGACCCUAUAGAGUUUUAUUUUUACUCUUUUCUAUAAAAGCUACUAAAAAUUUUGUUGGGGCAACUAAGAAAAUUUAAAUUUUUCUUAACUAUCUAUCAUAAUACUUUAUCAUUAAUUUAAUAAAACAAAAUAAAUUACCUUAGGGAUAACAGCAUAAUUUUCUUUGAGAGUCCAAAUCGAAAAGAAAAAUUAUGACCUCGAU
rnacentral:rRNA from 1 species